GGCCCAUUAGCUCAGUUGGUUAGAGCGUCGUGCUAACUGCGAAGGUCGUGGUCGAUCCCCAUGGGCAG